ACUGUGAGAACAGUUUCCUGACACAGAUCUGGCAUUGAAGUCAUUUUUUUAAGUGAAAAUAAAAACUUAAAAGAUAUGCACUCCACGUGAUUUUAGCAUAUAUGCAAAGGGUUUAAUCCUCAUGGGAUCCAGGUUCUCUGUUAAACUUUUUGAAGAACUGUAUGACUCAAACUAACAGUUGUGGAACCCCAGCAUUUAGAAUAAAACCUACUCAAGGGGGUGUAUGUUUGAAACCAUCCUUGGUAUAGAGGUGAUAAAUAGACCCUAAGUUCCUGCUUUGGUCGUAAGUUCUAAAGACUUUCCAAUGUUUUUUUCAACACAGUUGACUCCUAGAGUUGUCCUACCCUGAUGGAAUGAACCCUGUGCUACCAUUAGGUUGGUUACAGGCUUACCAGGCUCCCUUGGGUCCCAAUUGAACUUCCCAAUGUCCUGGAAGCUCUGAGGAUGCAGAUUAAGGGCCCAGUGUUUCUAAAUCUGCCUGACUGUAAGGAUCACCUGGGGUACUGAUUAAAUAAUAUAUCCAUUGGGCUAGGCCUGGGAAUGUGUUUUUUUUUUUACCAAGUGACCCAUGAGAUCCUUCAGGCAAGUUUGGGAAACUAGCCUAUCCAACUACAUUUAGGCUACUUAGUAAUAUGCAAUUUGGGAGUUGUAAUUGUUGGAAGUCUAUUUUCUGUGCUCUCACACACACACACACAAAAAUGAGAUCCAAAGUUGUCAGAUAGUGCACUUGUCAAAAAGUACAAAUAGGUGCUGUGAGUUCCUUAAAAGUGUGAGAAACUGAAGCAAAGAAGUCCACAAAGUAGAAGUCAGCAGUAUGCAUGCAUACUGGUAUCAGGAGUCCAAGGAGGCCAGGAACUCCUAGACAGGCCCUAAGGGGCAGCAGGGCUUCAGAAAAUCAGAAACAGGUAACACUGAGGUGGUGGUGGCAAGGCAUAAAGGUAGUUUGAGUUUCAAGACCCUAAGAGAGAGUGGAAGGGAAAAGGCAACCGCAAGGCACAAGAGCAAGUGCCACCGUCUGGAUUUUUUUUUUUUUUUUUUCACCAUCUGGAUUUAUUCAGUGAGGUAAGAACCAAUUCUAGCAGAGCUGGUUGAACUGAAAGUAGACCCAAAGUAAGCACAAACAGCCUCCCUUCACAGCUUCUACAACAGCUGUCCCUUUUACCUAGGACUCAGAGCAAGGGACAGAAUUGUAUAUAAGGUUUUAUUACAAGUAAACUGAUUUAACUCGGUUGAUUAUCUGAUCACAGAUUAGAAGGGGAGAAGUGUGACAGCCGAGAGCUGACUAGAAGGAGAGAGAGAAGCUGAUAUUAAAACUAUUUAAAAGGCAUAAUAUGAUUUUGCUACAUAGUAUUGUUCAUAAGAGUAAAAUAAUUCAAUCCAGUGUCCAACAACAGGAAAUUGGUUAAUGUGGUAGGUUCACAUAUUGGAAUACUAAACAGCCUUUCUAAAUGACCUAGAAGAAUAGGGAAUAAACUUGGAAAGUUUUCACUCUGUAGUCAAUGGACAAAACCUGUUAUAAAACAGCAUGUACAAUGUGGUCCAGUUUGGGGGGAAAGUGUAUAUUCAUGGGAGGAAAAAGCCUAAAAUUAAUAAUAGCUCAGAUUUGUUUGGUUUUUUUUUUAUUGUGGUU
ensembl:lncRNA